UACGAAGGGGGCGAGCGUUGUUCGGAAUUACUGGGCGUAAAGGGCGCGUAGGCGGCCGAGCAAGUUAGAUGUGAAAGUCCUGGGCUUAACCUGGGGACUGCAUUUGAUACUGCUUGGCUUGAAUUCGGGAGAGGAUAGCGGAAUUCCCAGUGUAGAGGUGAAAUUCGUAGAUAUUGGGAAGAACACCGGUGGCGAAGGCGGCUAAUCGUGGACCGACGAUUGACGCUGAGGCG
rnacentral:rRNA from 1 species